rnacentral:rRNA from 1 species
UUAUGCUAAUAAGAGCGUAUGGUGGAUGCCUUGGCACUAAGAGCCGAUGAAAGACGUGAUAAGCUGCGAAAAGCUUCGGGGAGGAGCAAAUAUCCAUUGAUCCGGAGAUCUCUGAAUGGGGAAACCUACUUGAGAAGACCUCAAGUAUCCACAGCCCAAUCCAUAAGCUGUGGAAGGGAACCCGGUGAACUGAAACAUCUAAGUAGCCGGAGGAAGAGAAAACAACAUGUGAUUCCGUAAGUAGCGGCGAGCGAACGCGGAAGAGCCCAAACCGGAGUGCGUGCACUCCGGGGUUCGGACUGCAGGAUUGACGAGUGAGCCUAGUAGAAUGGUUUUGGGAAAGCCAGCCAGAGAGGGUGAAAGCCCCGUACACGAAAGGCAAGCGAGCAUGGCAGGAUCCAGAGUACCACGAGACACGAGAAACCUUGUGGGAAUGAGCGGGGACCACCCCGUAAGGCUAAAUACUCCUUAGUGACCGAUAGCGCAUAGUACUGUGAAGGAAAGGUGAAAAGGACCCCGGGAGGGGAGUGAAAGAGAACCUGAAACCAUAUGUUUACAAGCUGUGGAACAUCUUUAUAUGAUGAACCGCGUACUUUUUGUAGAACGGUCCGGCGAGUUACGCUGGCUGGCGAGGUUAAGGGCUGAAGGCCUGGAGCCGAAGGGAAACCGAGUCUGAACAGGGCGACAUAGUCGCUGGGCGUAGACGCGAAACCUGGUGAUCUAAGCCUGUCCAGGGUGAAGCUGUGGUAAGACACAGUGGAGGCCCGAACUCACCGCCGUUGAAAAGUUGGGAGAUGAGGUAGGUUUAGGGGUGAAAAGCCAAUCGAACUAGGAGAUAGCUCGUUCUCUCCGAAAUGCAUUUAGGUGCAGCCUUGAGUGUUUAAUUAUGGGGGUAGAGCACUGAAUGAACUAGGGGGCAUAUUGCUUACUGAAUUCAAUCAAACUCCGAAUACCAUAAUUCAAAGCUCAGGAGUGAGACUAUGGGAAUUAACUUCCAUUGUCAAAAGGGAAACAACCCAGACCACCAGCUAAGGUCCCUAAUUAUAACUAAGUGGGAAAGGAGGUGGAGAUUCACAAACAACCAGGAGGUUGGCUUAGAAGCAGCCAUACCUUUAAAGAGUGCGUAAUAGCUCACUGGUCGAGAGUCUCUGCGCCGACAAUGUAACGGGGCUAAGUUAUAAACCGAAGCUGUGGAAUUGCGUAAGCAAUUGGUAGGAGAGCGUUCUGUAGGCCGUUGAAGGAGAAGCGUAAGCAACUCUGGAGGUAUCAGAAGUGAGAAUGCAGGAAUAAGUAGCGAGAAAGGGGGCGAGAAUCCCCCUCGCCGGAAGACCAAGGUUUUCAGGGUAAAGCUUGUCUUCCCUGAGUAAGCCGGGACCUAAGCCGAGGCUAAAAUGCGUAGGCGAAUGGAAAACAGAUUAAUAUUUCUGUGCCAGUUAUAUUUUGUGAUGGAGGGACGCAGAAGGGUAUGUGCGCGGGAGAACGGAAGUUCCCGUAAAAGCAUGUAGAGUGGUCUAGUAGGAAAAUCCGCUAGAUUAGACUUGAGGUGUGAUAUAUAGUCGUAAGAUGAAUGCACAAAUCCCACGCUGCCGAGAAAAGCUUCUAACGUUAAGGUAUAACUGCCCGUACCCGAAACCGACACAGGUGGUCAGGAUGAGAAAUCUAAGGCGGACAGGCUAACUCUCGUUAAGGAACUCUGCAAAAUUGCCCCGUAACUUUGGGAGAAGGGGUGCCCCUGAAUGUUAGUAAUUACGCAUUAUGAAGCAUUUGGGGGUCGCAGUGAAGAGGCUCAAGCAACUGUUUAACAAAAACACAGGUCUAUGCUAAGCUGUAAGGCGAUGUAUAUGGGCUGACACCUGCCCAGUGCCGGAAGGUUAAGAGGAGGAGUGAGAGCUCCGAAUUGAAGCCCCGGUGAACGGCGGCCGUAACUAUAACGGUCCUAAGGUAGCGAAAUUCCUUGUCGGGUAAG